UUUCUGCCCGGUUCUUCUUUGCUUUCAGAGCCGUUUAUAACCAACGGAAUCUGUCAUAGAUGACGCUAAACUCACAGCUUGAAAAUGGCUUCCACUGACAUCUCUCUUUCACUACCGCCAUUCCCUUCUUCGAGUGUUAAACCCAAAGCUUCCGUCUUCAGCAACUGCCAUUUAUUCAUUGCAAAGAAUUCACCAUCUUCUUCUUCACUCCUCACUUCAACAUCAACACAAAGAAGAACAGAGCAAGUUUGUACUUCUUUCAGGAUCAAAUGCUCAUAGGCUUCUUCUUCUUCGAAUACUCUUCCUUCUGCUCUUCUUUUUUACUGUGAUGGUGUCUCGUUGAUACUGACAAGGAUGGCCACCGGGUUUCGUUCAAUUGCUUCCAAUUUUCCCCUCGAAUUUUGAUUGGGUUUUUGUUUUUGUGUUUUGGGUAUUUGGUAUUUGGUUAUGUUGUAGAAUUGCCAUGUUUAUUGAAUUUUAGGAUUUGGGUUUUAUUAAAGUAUCCGAUAAUUAGAAUAUUUUUGUUUUCUUUGAGAUGAUUGGAUGCUUUGGCUUUCCUCCUGGAUGUGGGAUGUUGUUCUACCCAGAGAGAUUUCUUCAGCCAUUGCUCAAUUUCCAACCCCCAAAACUCGGAGGACUUCUUCAACCUACUCUCACUUGUAAUACGAAACGCCUCUCGUUCAGCUCCAUCUUCUUCUCCGCCUCUAGAUCAAAUUAAGAAACGAAGUUUUCUCGAGAAUCAAACGCUGAACAAUGAACCGUCAAAAGCUGCUGCUGAUACCACAGUGACCAAGGCUCGUACUUCAUUUGAUGGUUGUUCCAAGUCGUCAUUGCCAGGUAAAAGGGCGAGCCUGAUGAAAGCGUUUGGAGAUUUCACUGAAUCUGAUACGGAUAUGUCAUUCGUAAGCUCGAUUUCCCUGCUUAAUCCAGUAUAAAAGAUUUAUUUAGUGAUUUUACUUUGUUAGGAUUAUUUAUUUUUUCUGUUCUUUUACUUCAACUUUAUUGUGAACUAAAAUUCAAUGCAAUUCAUAGACACAAGGGCAACGUUCGCUUAAGGUUAUUGUUGAAAAGGAGAAUGUUUGCAGAGUGUUUUUAUUCAUGCAGAAUUCUUACAUUUACCCUUCAGUUUUGUUUGAGAGAAAUCGAGACACGUUUGAAACAUGCUUGAUUUGGAAUAAGAAACAAGCCUGAGAAGUACAUACUUGAUUUGGAAUAAGACAAGUUAUAGUGGAUUUUUGUUUUCUUAUCUUUUUAAUCAGUGUGUUGGUUGCGAGUGGGAUAAGUGAAUUGAUUGAGAGAGCGUUGUGAGGUGAAAGAAAAAGGAAUAACAAAAAUGAGUAGGCUAUCGUUUAGGCCAUGCCCAUUGGACAUACACAAGAAGCUACAGAUUGUUAAAUCAGUGAAAGACCUCGAAGACGAUGACACUCCUACUUCCGCUGCGACUUGCUGUUGUUGAGGUCGAAACGGAGGUACCCUUUUUCACAUCUACUCGCAUUUUGUAAUCUCAAGGUAAAUCAAAAUCCUGCAAAUUGGUUUUAGAUUAAUACAUUUGCUUUUAUAUAUAAACACAGCCUCUGGGAAAGCAGUAAUAGAAAAUUAGAGCUUCAAAACAAUGAGACUAUUUU